rnacentral:rRNA from 1 species
AAUCAACGCUGGCGGCGUGCCUAACACAUGCAAGUCGAACGCGAAAGCCCGCAAGGGUGAGUAGAGUGGCGCACGGGUGAGUAACACGUGGACAACCUGCCUUCGAGUGGGGAAUAACCUUCCGAAAGGAGGGCUAAUACCGCAUAACACCUCGGGACACAAGUUCUGGGGUUGAAAAGAGCAAUUUGCUCGAAGAGGGGUCCGCGCCUGAUUAGCUAGUUGGUGAGGUAACGGCUCACCAAGGCUUCGAUCAGUAGCCGUCCUGAGAGGGAGCACGGCCACACUGGAACUGAGACACGGUCCAGACUCCUACGGGAGGCAGCAGUGGGGAAUUUUGGCAAUGGGCGAAAGCCUGACGCAGCGACGCCGCGUGGGGAUGAAGGUCUUCGGAUUGUAAA